rnacentral:rRNA from 1 species
GAUGAACGCUGGCGGCGUGCUUAACACAUGCAAGUCGAACGGAAAGGCCCAAGCUUGCUUGGGUACUCGAGUGGCGAACGGGUGAGUAACACGUGGGUGAUCUGCCCUGCACUUCGGGUUAAGCCUGGGAAACUGGGUCUAAUACCGGAUAGGACGAUGGUUUGGAUGCCAUUGUGGAAAGUUUUUUCGGUGUGGGAUGAGCUCGCGGCCUAUCAGCUUGUUGGUGGGGUAAUGGCCUACCAAGGCGUCGACGGGUAGCCGGCCUGAGAGGGUGUACGGCCACAUUGGGGCUGAGAUACGGCCCAGACUCCUACGGGAGGCAGCAGUGGGGAAUAUUGCACAAUGGGCGCAAGCCUGAUGCAGCGACGCCGCGUGGGGGAUGACGGCCUUCGGGUUGUAAACUCCUUUCGCUAGGGACGAAGCGUUUUUGUGACGGUACCUGGAGAAGAAGCACCGGCUAACUACGUG